rnacentral:lncRNA from 1 species
CAAGAACUUGCUCAUCUGUUUCAAGACAUAGUUCAUAUAAUUUAACCAUACACGUGUUAGCCAAAGCCUUUCAAUAAAAAGAGAUAAAUAAUGAAACCUAAUGUUCCUCUUCUUAUAAUGAUCCUUUAGGCCUCAUCUACACAUGAAGUUAAUUAGUUUAAACUGGCAGAGGAAAAGCCUUGCCAUCAGGCUUACAAAGGCAUUUUUUAGACAGCAAUUAUUGAAUUAUGGAAGGUUGGGCUCACCAGGACCAAACAAUUGGGAAAAGGACCUCAAAUAAGAAGGUGAAAAGGGUAUAGUACAUUACAUGAUAGAAGAUGUUAAUAUUAGAAGUGGAACAGAUGGCUCAGAUUGAGAUUGGGAGCACAACUACAACUGAAAGAUGAAGAAAGAGAUUCAAAGAAGAACAAACAAGAGCAGAAAAUUCAAUUAAAAUGUCCAAUUUUGAGGAAGCAGGUGUGUGGAUUUUAUUAUUGAGACCUCUAGAUUCUCAUUUAGAGUAACCCAUUUGUGAGGCUUG